rnacentral:rRNA from 1 species
UACGAAGGGGCUAGCGUUGCUCGGAAUCACUGGGCGUAAAGGGUGCGUAGGCGGGUCUUUAAGUCAGGGUGAAAUCCUGGAGCUCAACUCCAGAACUGCCUUGAUACUGAAGAUCUUGAGUUCGGAGAGGUGAGUGGAACUGCGAGUGUAGAGGUGAAAUUCGUAGAUAUUCGCAAGAACACCAGUGGCGAAGGCGGCUCACUGGCCCGAUACUGACGCUGAGGCACGAAAGCGUGGGGAGCGAACAGG